rnacentral:rRNA from 1 species
GAUGAACGCUGGCAGCGUGCCUAAUACAUGCAAGUCGAGCGAACAGACGAGGAGCUUGCUCCUCUGACGUUAGCGGCGGACGGGUGAGUAACACGUGGAUAACCUACCUAUAAGACUGGGAUAACUUCGGGAAACCGGAGCUAAUACCGGAUAAUAUAUUGAACCGCAUGGUUCAAUAGUGAAAGACGGUUUUGCUGUCACUUAUAGAUGGAUCCGCGCCGCAUUAGCUAGUUGGUAAGGUAACGGCUUACCAAGGCAACGAUGCGUAGCCGACCUGAGAGGGUGAUCGGCCACACUGGAACUGAGACACGGUCCAGACUCCUACGGGAGGCAGCAGUAGGGAAUCUUCCGCAAUGGGCGAAAGCUUGACGGAGCAACGCCGCGUGAGUGAUGAAGGUCUUCGGAUCGUAAAACUCUGUUAUUAGGGAAGAACAAAUGUGUAAGUAACUAUGCACGUCUUGACGGUACCUAAUCAGAAAGCCACAGCUAACUACGUG